rnacentral:tmRNA from 1 species
GGGGACGUAAUGGUUUCGACGGGGAGUGUGAGCAUCGGCAAGCGAGCGGUGGCUUUGCGGAACCACCAUAAAAUCCGUAAAUUCUAAAUAAUAAACGACAACAAUAAAACUGUUGCCCUUGCCGCUUAAUUAGGCAAGCGUUCGUUUCCGGAGUACCACGGCCGGGAUCGGGCGUCGAUUAGUGGUGAACGUGAACGGGAGUGCGGCUCGGCUUCCGUCAUGACUUUGAGCCUACCGAAGCGCAAAGCCUGUUUGUCGGCGUUGCGUCGGGGGAAUCUUAAAUGAUAAACUGCGCUCGGAGAAAACCGUUGUAAGUGCUUUUCGGACAGGGGUUCGAUUCCCCUCGUCUCCACCA